AAUCAACGCUGGCGGCGUGCCUCAGACAUGCAAGUCGAACGCGAAAGUUUCCUUCGGGAGAUGAGUAGAGUGGCGCACGGGUGAGUAACACGUGAGUAAUUUACCUUCGGGUGGGGAAUACUAACCGGAAACGGUUGUUAAUACCGCAUAAUGCAGCGGCAUCAAUGAUGACAGUUGUUAAAGCGGGGGAGUUGGAGCAAUCCGACCUCGCGCCUGAAGAGAAGCNCGCGGCAGAUUAGCUAGUUGGUAAGGUAAUGGCUUACCAAGGCGACGAUCUGUAACCGGCCUGAGAGGGCGGUCGGUCACACUGACACUGAAUAACGGGUCAGACUCCUACGGGAGGCAGCAGUCGGGAAUUUUGGGCAAUGGGCGCAAGCCUGACCCAGCAACGCCGCGUG
rnacentral:rRNA from 1 species